UGAGGAAUAUUGGACAAUGGUCGAGAGACUGAUCCAGCCAUGCCGCGUGCAGGAAGACAGCCUUAUGGGUUGUAAACUGCUUUUGUACGGGAAGAAUAAUGCCCACGUGUGGGCAGAUGACAGUACCGUAAGAAUAAGCAUCGGCUAACUUCGUGCCAGCAGCCGCGGUAAGACGAAGGAUGCAAGCGUUAUCCGGAUUCAUUGGGUUUAAAGGGAGCGUAGGUGGACUUGUAAGUCAGUGGUGAAAUCUCUCAGCUUAACUGAGAAACUGCCAUUGAUACUGCAGGUCUUGAGUACAGAUGAUGUGGGCGGAAUAUGACAUGUAGUGGUGAAAUACUUAGAUAUGUCAUAGAACACCGAUUGCGAAGGCAGCUCACAAAACUGUAACUGACACUGAGGCUCGAAAGUGCGGGGAUCAAACAGGAUUAGAUACCCUGGUAGUCCGCACCGUAAACGAUGAUAACUCGUUGUUAGCGAUAUGACAGUUAGCGACCAAGCGAAAGCGAUAAGUUAUCCACCUGGGGAGUACGCCGGCAACGGUGAAACUCAAAGGAAUUGACGGGGGCCCGCACAAGCGGAGGAGCAUGUGGUUUAAUUCGAUGAUACGCGAGGAACCUUACC
rnacentral:rRNA from 1 species